rnacentral:rRNA from 1 species
GAUGAACGCUAGCGGGAGGCCUAACACAUGCAAGUCGAGCGGGAUUUGUUGGCUAGCUUGCUAACUAACCAUGAGAGCGGCGUACGGGUGCGUAGCACGUGUGUAACCUGCCUUUAUCUCGGGGAUAGCCUUUCGAAAGUAAGACUUAUACCCCAUAACAUAUUGAUUGGCAUCAGUUAAUAUUGAAAGCUCCGGCGGAUCGAGAUGGGCACGCGUAAGAUUAGCUAGUUGGUGAGGUAACGGCUCACCAAGGCUGCGAUCUUUAGGGGGCCUGAGAGGGUGAUCCCCCACACUUGUACUGAGGCACGGACCAGACUGCUACGGGAGAGAGCAGUAAGGAAUAUUGGACAAUGGAUGAGGGCCUGAUCCAGCCAUCCCGCGUGAAGGACUAAGGAGCUAUGGAUGGUAAUCUUCUUUUAUACAAGGGUAAAACUACUCUCGUGAGGGUAGCUGAAGGUACUGUAUGAAUAAGCACCGGCUAACUCCGUG